AGGAUUAGAUACCCGGUUAGUCCCAGCCGUAAACGAUGCAGACUAGGUGUCCAGCUACCCACGAGGUAUUUGGGUGCCGCCGCGAAGGCAUUAAGUCUGCCGCCUGGGAAGUACGCUCGCAAGAGUGAAACUUAAUGGAAUUGGCGGGAGCUCACUACAAGGGGUGGAUGCUGCGGUUUAAUUGGACAAAACGCCAGAUAAUUCACCAGGGGCGACAGCAGGAUGAUGGACAGUCUGAAGGGCUUUCCUGACACGCUGAGAGGUGUUGUAUGGUCAUCGUCAGCCCGUACUAUAAAGCGUCCAGUUAACUCUGGCAACGGGCGAGACCUAUACUCCUAGUUGCAAUUUCGAGAUUUCUCGGGAGCACUCUAGGGGGACUGCGAGGGUAACCUUGAGGAAGGAAUAGGCUACGGUAGAUCUGUAUGGCCCGAAUCUCCUGGGCAACACGCGGCAUACAAUGCGCAAGACAAUGAGACCCUAGCCCGAAAGGGUACGGAAAUCCCAAAACCUUGCGCUCAGUUCGGAUUGAGGUCUGUAACUCGGCCUCAUGAAGAUGGAAUCCCCAGUAAUCGCGCGUCAUAAUCACGCGGUGAAUAAGUCCCUGAGCUUUGCACACACCGCCCAUCAAGCCAAACGAAUAGAGCUCUGAUGAACCACUUUCUUCUAGAGAAUGGUGAUUCUGGGUUUUGUGAGUUGGGCUAAGUCGUAACAAG
rnacentral:rRNA from 1 species